CCCGACUCACCCGGCACGCGUAUAUACUAGCGUAAGACCCAGCCCAUUGCACGUGCGCGGUUGUAAACGAUCAGCUGCAGAUUAAUGUAGGUCAAAUAUUGUUCCAGUGCGCGGUUCCGCAAUGUGGAAUCCUAUAAAUAGUUCUUACCAAAUAGUUGUUCAAGUUGCGAGAACAAUUUUCGUCUGUAGCAUAAUCAAUGUAAAAAAACAUUUUGUCCUUGGCUGACACAGUGUUUAAGCUAAUGCAGAUCCAGUGUGCAGAAGUUACAAAGACAAUUGGAAUAUGGCUGCCUUGAGUUUCCACAACCUCUUAA